rnacentral:snRNA from 1 species
GACGACAGUGCGACCUACAAAUUAACAAUCCCCUCGCCUUUUACUAGGGGAUUCCGUGUUGGUCGUACAUAUAGUCGUUGUUCAAAUAUUUGGGUUUUCACUUCGCUUUGUGCAAG